GAUGAACGCUGGCGGCGUGCCUAAUACAUGCAAGUCGAGCGAACAGACGAGGAGCUUGCUCCUCUGACGUUAGCGGCGGACGGGUGAGUAACACGUGGAUAACCUACCUAUAAGACUGGGAUAACUUCGGGAAACCGGAGCUAAUACCGGAUAAUAUAUUGAACCGCAUGGUUCAAUAGUGAAAAACGGUUUUGCUGUCACUUAUAGAUGGAUCCGCGCCGCAUUAGCUAGUUGGUAAGGUAACGGCUUACCAAGGCAACGAUGCGUAGCCGACCUGAGAGGGUGAUCGGCCACACUGGAACUGAGACACGGUCCAGACUCCUACGGGAGGCAGCAGUAGGGAAUCUUCCGCAAUGGGCGAAAGCUUGACGGAGCAACGCCGCGUGAGUGAUGAAGGUCUUCGGAUCGUAAAACUCUGUUAUUAGGGAAGAACAAAUGUGUAAGUAACUGUGCACGUCUUGACGGUACCUAAUCAGAAAGCCACGGCUAACUACGUG
rnacentral:rRNA from 1 species